AUUCUUCUUGAAAAUUUAGCACUAUCUUCUGCCAUGAAAAACAUGGAUAAAUGAAGUGAUCAACAGCUCACCUACACAAUAAUAGAGAUCUUGUAAAAUUGACCAAGUCACUUGAUUGGUCAAAAGUUUAUAACCCCAAUCUGGUUUACAGACAGGGUAUCCUCUUUGUUAUAUAAUCAGCAAUCCCCUACUUAUGAUAUACCCACCUGAAGUCAAAUAGCCCCAAGGUUUAAUAUAGGUGUAUUUACAGGUGCUAUGUCAACAGUAAAUAGUUCUAACCACACACAUGUCUACAAGAGUUCAGAGCUGCAUGUGGUGUAAUCUUAUUAAAGUAUAAUUGCUGUCACUACAGUUGGGAAAGCGGUAUGUAGUUCUGUCAUGCCGGUCUUAAAAAGAAAAGUUAAUGGAUCAAAUUAUUCUCUCUUGGUUAGAUAUAUUGUUGGAACGCCAUUUACCCUAGCUAUAUUUAGCAGGAGGACCUCUGACAACGCAUAUAUCGGAUACAGCUUUUGUGAAGCUGACCCCAGCAGAAGACAAUGAACCCCAGAAGAACAAGAAAGUUUUACCGAGACUGGUCGUAGAGGUACAAGAUGCCAGCUGGUAAUGGAACCAACUUCCAAAACAUUAAUACUAACACCAUUAAAGACAACUUCGUAUGUUAGUUUUAUGGAAAAACUGUCAACCAAAUUAUUGUUUGUUUUAUGUUUUUACUAGUAAAUCUUGACUGUUGUGCUCGGGUUACUGAUGACCCAUUUGUGCAUAAUUUUCAAAUAAACAUAUUUUACACAA